ACCUGAAACAAGCAGGAUACAGACACUGGAGGUGCAGGCCCAGGAAGAUACAACCUGGACAAAAACUUAUGUAAUGCACAAAUUCAUGUAGGGAAUACCAAUAGUUCGAUACAAAGAGUUAACUGUUACUUUAAAACCUUCCUUUGAAGAUUACCCAGAAGACAUUUCUACAAUUCAGACUUUCUUUGGCAGCUCAGGAUUGUCUCACUCUGGGUGAGUUUAGGAAGCUAUGGACGCUGUCAUGGGCAUCCAAGGUGGCUGCUGAAACCCCCUUUAUUUGUACCACAUUCACUUAGCGUACUUCAGUCUGAAGUCGUCAGCUGCCAGUCUGGCAUUGUCGAUCUGCAGCAGGACAUUGGCGUUGUCAGUUGUCAGGGUGAGGAUCUGGAGGGAGACAAAAGCUCGUAGUUUGACCUUUCCAGAGCCCGGACUUUGUCCAGGUAGGAAGCCAGCCGGUCGUUCAGGUUCUGCAUGGCUGCCUUUUCAUUUCCAGAGAGAAGGCCGCCACCAUCUCCUCCAUAUCCACCACCAAUGCCUCCUCCAAAGCCACUUCCACCGAAGCCGCCUCCACCGAAGCUGCCUCCACCGAAGCUGCCUCCACCGAAGCCGCCUCCUCCAUAGCCGCCUCCUCCACAACUUCCAACAAAGCUGCUUCCUCCAUAGCCUCCACCAAAGCUGCCUCCGCCAAAACCUCCAUAGCCACCUGAUGAGCCCCCAAAGCAACCACCACCAGAGCUUCCACGGCUAAAAGAGCCACCGCUGAAGCCCCCUGAGCUAAAACCUCCACCGUGGGAGCUUUUGCUGCUGGAAAUUCUGAGGGAUGACCCUCCACCUCCUCCUCCUCCUCCACUGCGGGAGGAAGAGAACUGCUUGCUGGAGCUGUAUCGGACAGACAUGGUGAAGCAGUGUAGCCCAGGGAGUGCCUGCUACCAAGGACAGUGACAGGCCUUUAUAUACUGAGAGGGUGUGUCUCAUAGGGCUUCGGGUUUGCUUGCUUGUACGGUUUUCUUUUUGCCAGCUUAGCAUGUUUGACUGAUGAUUGCAUAAAUUAUAUGCAGUAAUAACCAA